UGGUGCUGUUUUAUAUUAAAGCUGCAAUAUGUAACUUUUUGGGGACCCGACCAAAUGCACAUAGAAAUGUGUCAUAGACAUGUUAUUCUCGUUGAAAGCAAGUCCAAGAAGCGGUAUAUCUGUUCUGUUCUUAAAUUUAGUUUUUGAAUCUUUUACUUUCAGUUUUGUACACUAGUUUAGGACAAUGCAGAAGGCUCAGAGCGGUCUGGUAGGCUGUUUGGUGGUUUAAGCCAGCUGGAUUUAGGACCGCAAGGACACCACAGAGCGUGCGAACAGAAGCAGCUAUUGCCUGUGUGUUAUGCUUUUUCUCUGAGUUGUAAAAGUAAGCAGAGCAGAAACGGGCUACUCUUUUUAUUUAACUGAUGUAGCUGGCAAGAAGCCCAUCGUCAUCAGCGGCAGCAUGGCAAUGUUGACCAUACCUCUUCUGCUCUGUGCGGCCGUUGCUCUGAGUAGCGCAGCAGGCAAGACACACAUUCUUGUUUCAGAACCUUUAUUGGAGGGAAACAUGGAGCAAACCCCCCCUAUUGUGAGGAUAUGGAUGAUGAGGGAAACACCUUUAAACAGAACCCACCUCUUGAAAGCCUUGAGGAGAUGAUAGACUUUGAGCAGACAUUGCCUCUGCACAGUUCCAGCAACAAUUAUGGAUUGGCCAAAUUCAAAACAGGUGCAGACUUGAGAAAUGCACACACCAAGUCAAGGGGUUGUGGCUUUCUCCAGCAAAGGAUUUGAAAUAAGACCUAACAAAAAUAAAGUAAAUAUCCAAAAAAUUUAAUCAUCAAGAAAGUAAUCAUCAAGUCUAUAUUCUUGGUUUGCUAUGUGUCUUGCCUGCUGCACCAUUCAGACCAAAGGCAGCAGAGAGCAGAAGAGAAAUGGUUGACAUCGCCAUGGGGAUGAUGGGGUCCUAAAUACUAGAUAGAGAGUCAGAGGGAAAUAAUGGCGGAAACAAUCAGAAUUCAGUGAAAAUAAAACAGCAAAGUAAAUGGAUUAUUUAUUGAGUAGAGGACUUACCGGUUGCAUUACGUCACUACAUGACUGUAAGGGUUGCGGAACUGGUGGUAGUGAAGUCAGACGCAGGAGAGCAGAAAUAGGUAAUAGCCGGAGCAAUUUAAUUUCAAAACCAACGGCAAUAAAAAAAAUAACCUACAUGGGUACAAAACCUGAUGCUCACCAGUAACAUAGUGCACAAGCACUUACAAACAAACA